UGGCCAAAGAACUUGGAAGCCU
rnacentral:piRNA from 1 species